GGUUAAAUUACACUCAGCGAUUUAAUUUUUCACUUUAUAUUAUAUCGUUAUUUAUUUUUUAACCUAUAUAAAAAUUCAUUUUAUAUCUUUUAAAUUUUUUCUUUUUUUAAUUUUAAGCAAAAUUAAAAAAGAAAUAUUUAAAGAUAUAUAUUUGAUUUUUUCCUUCAUAUUCCCGGUAUUUUCAACGCCUUUAGGCAGCUUCUUGUUAAGUAGUGUUGAUUUUGCCGUAACAAAACGGAGGAAAACA